AACGAACGCUGGCGGCAUGCCUAACACAUGCAAGUCGAACGAGACCUUCGGGUCUAGUGGCGCACGGGUGCGUAACGCGUGGGAACCUGCCCUUAGGUUCGGAAUAACUCCCCGAAAGGGGUGCUAAUACCGGAUAAUGUCUUCGGACCAAAGAUUUAUCGCCUUUGGAUGGGCCCGCGUUGGAUUAGCUAGUUGGUAGGGUAAAAGCCUACCAAGGCGACGAUCCAUAGCUGGUCUGAGAGGAUGAUCAGCCACACUGGGACUGAGACACGGCCCAGACUCCUACGGGAGGCAGCAGUGGGGAAUAUUGGAAAAUGGGCGAAAGCCUGAUCAAGCAAUGCCGCGUGAGUGAUGAAGGCCUUAGGGUUGUAAAGCUCUUUUAACCGGGAUGAUAAUGACAGUACCGGGAGAAUAAGCUCCGGCUAACUCCGUG
rnacentral:rRNA from 1 species